rnacentral:lncRNA from 1 species
GGGAAUAAUAAUUUGACAUGAUUUGUUUCUCAAGUUCUCCAGGACACAUUUUACAGAGUCAGUUUAAUCGCAAUCAUCAAUGGUACAGUGAUAAACCCAGAGAUCACCAUUCAAAACUGGGUGAGUAGACCCAUUGCAAAUGUACAGCAUAAUAAAGGAUAUAAUUGGCUGAUCAGAUAUGUGUGAAUUAUCUGAUUAUUUGUGGGUUUCAGCUUGAUGCAACAUUGAAUCCACAUCGCAUGGCAUUUUUAAACUUUGUGAUGAAGCCAGAGUCGUACAUGUGAGUGACCAUUUAGCAGACUAACCAAGAAGAAUGCACACCUUAGUGAAUGUAGUGGACAAUUUAGACAAUUGUAAGGAUAAAGAGAUUUGAGAUAUUAAAGAAGUUUUUAAUCCUCCACAGAUAUGGCUGCACAUUCCACGUGCAGGCAGAAUCUCUUAAUGUCACAGAGACAAAGAAGCUCAUUCUCAGCCUUCUCACAAAAUUAUACAUCACUGAGUCCAUGUCUAUUCAAGUCCUACCUGGUGACAUCAACGUCUCACACAUAGCUCCAGGCUCCUGCCCCGAUCACGACCAGCACACCCUGCAUGGCCUGUUUGCCUGGCCCAAGACGGAGCCACAGGACAUGGCCAUCGUCCUCUGUCAGAAGAACAAAAAAGAAAGAGCAACACGAUUCUGUAAACUAGAUGGCAUGACUGAUAAAGCCAUGUGGGAAUCUCCAGAUUUGAGCUCAUGCAAAAGGAUUGUGGUCGACAUCACUGACUUGGACAAGGUCAAUGUCACAGCAAGUAAGAUUGGUGCAUUUUGAUCAUACUGCUCUGUGGUUUAAACAGAUUCUUGGUUGUAAAGUAAAAUUGAAAGGCUUCUAGCCCACCAUUCAUGAGAGAUACCUGAGGGAUAAUGAGAAUUGUACCUGUGUCUUCUGUGC